rnacentral:rRNA from 1 species
GACGAACGCUGGCGGCGUGCUUAACACAUGCAAGUCGAACGGUGAAGCGCCUUCCUUUUUGGUGGGUGUGGAUGAGUGGCGAACGGGUGAGUAACACGUGAGUAACCUGCCCCCUUCUUCUGGAUAACCGCAUGAAAGUGUGGCUAAUACGGGAUAUUCUGGGUCUGUCGCAUGAUGGGUCUGGGAAAGAUAUUGUUUCGGUGGGGGAUGGGCUCGCGGCCUAUCAGCUUGUUGGUGGGGUGAUGGCCUACCAAGGCGGUGACGGGUAGCCGGCCUGAGAGGGUGGACGGUCCCACUGGGACUGAGCCACGGCCCAGACUCCUACGGGAGGCAGCAGUGGGGAAUAUUGCACAAUGGGCGCAAGCCUGAUGCAGCGACGCCGCGUGAGGGAUGGAGGCCUUCGGGUUGUGAACCUCUUUCGCCAGUGAAGCAGGCCUGCCUCGUUUGUGGGUGGGUUGACGGUAGCUGGAUAAGAAGCGCCGGCUAACUACGUG